rnacentral:rRNA from 1 species
AUGAUCCAAGUGUCCAAGCUGAGAGACCUUAGCAGCGCCUCAUGGGAUGAGAAGACUUGCUCCAUAAUUCUGGAGGCAGAGCACUACGCCGGCCAUGUCGCGUGUGGCUUCAGCGACGAGGCUCUCAUGGCAGCUUUCAGCCACCUGCUUGACAACAAGGCCCAGGGUGUUGGGUCCGUUGCCAUGGCAGACGCUCACAGGGGCAAGUGGUAUGCCGUGUUCAUCGGUAAGGCUCCAGGGAUUUACAGUUCAUGGGAAGAAGUCAGUGCACAAGUGGCAUCGUAUAGCAACAGCAGCCAUAGAGGGUUCAAGACUAGGCAGGCCGCAGAACAAGCUUACUCCGACUGGGUGCGAAAGCACGGAGGCAGCAGUGUUGACAGCGGCAAGGUUGGAGGUGUCAAGGUGGAUCAUUAG